UUACGACCAUAUCACUUUGUAGCAGUGGUUCCAUACGAUCACCGAAGUUAACCGAUGUCUAGCCUGGUCUGUACUUAGAUGAGUGACCACGUAGGAGUACAAGGUGAUGU